GGGCCCGCACAAGCGGUGGAGCAUGUGGUUCAAUUCGACGCAACGCGAAGAACCUUACCUGGGCUAGACAACGGCGGACCGUCCUAGAAAUAGGACUUUCCUUUCGGGGACCACCGGUUCAGGUGCUGCAUGGCUGUCGUCAGCUCGUGCCGUGAGGUGUUGGGUUAAGUCCCGCAACGAGCGCAACCCUCGUCCUUAGUUGCCACCAUUCAGUUGGGCACUCUAGGGAGACUGCCGGCGUUAAGCCGGAGGAAGGUGGGGACGACGUCAAGUCAUCAUGGCCCUUAUGUCCAGGGCCACACACGUGCUACAAUGGGCGGUACAAAGGGUCGCAAACCCGCGAGGGGGAGCCAAUCCCAAAAAGCCGCUCUCAGUUCGGAUUGGAGUCUGCAACUCGACUCCAUGAAGUUGGAAUCGCUAGUAAUCGCGGAUCAGCACGCCGCGGUGAAUACGUUCCCGGGCCUU
rnacentral:rRNA from 1 species